AAGGACAUCCAACAUAACAGCACUCUGGGUGGAGCCAUGCACUUUCCACUUCUCAAUGAUGGACUUAACAAGCACUCUGGGGAAUCUUCAAAGCCUUGGAAAAUCUUUUUAUGUCCCUCACCUGAUGUUUACCUGCUCCUGGAGAUCACGCUGCUGCCUUUGUGUGGAUCUGCACAGCUGAUCAAAACAGCUGUUCUUAUUCAAGCUGUCGAUUUUAUGCAGAUGUUGAACAAAUGACGCGACUCUGUGACCAUGGAGGCAGCUGGUUAUUAUUAUUCCUGAGAUAUUGUUUAUCAAACCUAGUUAUUAAUGUUGUUCAUAUUUAAAUAAAGUUAGAAAUGUUUAUUAUUAGCUUUUCAAAUCAUUAAAGAGUGCGCAUUUAUUUAUUUUUAAUCCGCUGUAACUUCACUAUUAACAUUCUGUCACAAUUCUUUCUCUUUUUCAUUUCCUGUCUCAUGUUAUAUUUAAAUAACUACAUGGUUUCAAAAUGUGGUUUAAAAUAAAUCACUUUUUAAUCAGUUCGACGCUGAUUUUAUCCACAAGGAAAGAUUUCUCUUCAUGUGUGAGAUGAGAGCUUCAAAGUCCAGGCUCUUUUUUAAAAAAAAAAAAUUCUUUUUUUAAAAGUAAAAGAUAUUAGAAGAUUAAUAAAACAUUUGGACGAGCAAAAGGAACAUUUUCUGUCCCGCUGAAUAUUUGAUGUGUGUGGAUUGGACAUGUUCAGGAUGAAGGAGCUGUUAAAGGCAGAGACACGGAUGAAAUAAAGAUGAUCUAAUGAAAUAAAAAAAAUAAUAAAAAAGUCUCUUAAUUGAAAAGAAAAAGUUCUUAUCUAGUUGGGACCAAAACUUUAAGUGUGCUACCAAAAUAUUUAUAAUUCAUCAUUUUAUCGCUAAACACUAAAGCCAUCGCCGCCGAUGCUCUCAACCAAUCAGAACACAGAUUCCUUUUAGAGACCAAUGACGUGAAGAGAACAAAGAAGUUGAUAACACAUGAAUUAAAAUAAAAUAAAAAAAGAAGAAAUCUCUUGGAACUUAAAAGGAACGAUAGUGGACAGAAGAAAUAUGAUAAAUAUCCAACAUGUCCACAAGUCCAUAUCGAGCAGGAGACAUUAUGAAGAAAUGAUGAUAAUGAUGAUGAUGAUGAU
ensembl:lncRNA